AUUGAACGCUGGCGGCAUGCCUUACACAUGCAAGUCGAACGGCAGCACGGGAGCAAUCCUGGUGGCGAGUGGCGAACGGGUGAGUAAAGUAUCGGAACGUGCCCAGUCGUGGGGGAUAACGUAGCGAAAGUUACGCUAAUACCGCAUACGAUCUAUGGAUGAAAGCGGGGGAUCGCAAGACCUCGCGCGAUUGGAACGGACGAUAGCAGAUUAGGUAGUUGGUGGGGUAAAGGCUCACCAAGCCGACGAUCUGUAGCUGGUGUGAGAGGACGACCAGCCACACUGGGACUGAGACACGGCCCAGACUCCUACAGGAGGCAGCAGUGGGGAAUUUUGGACAAUGGGCGAAAGCCUGAUCCAGCCAUGCCGCGUGCAGGAUGAAGGCCUUCGGGUUGUAAACUGCUUUUGUACGGAACGAAAAGGUUUGGCCUAAUAAGCUGAGCUCAUGACGGUACCGUAAGAAUAAGCACCGGCUAACUACGUGCCAGCAGCCGCCGUAAAAC
rnacentral:rRNA from 1 species